GUAGGUGGCAAGCGUUGUCCGGAAUUAUUGGGGCGUAAAGCGCGCGCAGGCGGUUCUUUAAGUCUGAUGUGAAAGCCCACGGGCUCAACCGUGGAGGGUCAUUGGAAACUGGAGAACUUGAGUACAGAAGAGGAAAGCGGAAUUCCACGUGUAGCGGUGAAAUGCGUAGAGAUGUGGAGGACCACCAGUGGCGAAGGCGGCUUUCUGGUCUGUAACUGACGCUGAGGCGCGAAAGCGUGGGGAGCAAACAGGAUUAGAUACCCUGGUAGUCCACGCCGUAAACGAUGAGUGCUAAGUGUUAGGGGGUUUCCGCCCCUUAGUGCUGCAGCUAACGCAUUAAGCACUCCGCCUGGGGAGUACGGCCGCAAAGGCUG
rnacentral:rRNA from 1 species